UUGGUUAAGUGACAGCUGCAAAUCUCUCAUUUUCAAAAAUUCUUUGAUUCCUUUCAACUCCCUCUGCACAAUGACAGACCUUUAGUCCUUCAAUAUGUAAGGCAAACUGCUUCAAAUGGCUAACAGGGUUGCUCAUUAAGAUCCCAAGUGCAGCUAAUAAUAAAUUCUAACUUGAAGGAUGUUGAUACAGCAUCUAGAAUACAAAAGAAGGCCAAAACAACAAAGGAGAAGUAAAGCUCAUAACUCGCUCCUUAGCUAGCAAGAAGCAUGCCUUUUGAUGGUAAUAACCAAAACACUGCCCUGGAAGUGUUGGCGAGAUUAGCUUCUCAUAUUAUGUGAAAGUUUCAAAAAAUGGAAAAAGUACAGACCACAAAUCCAUGUAGACUAUUCAAUCAAUAAAACAUACUUAGCAUUGAUGCUAGCAAAUCUUGCACAAAUUAAUAUGCAAUAAAUGGAAACAUAUGAAUGCUAAAAGAAAAGAAAAUCAAUUUAAUCUCUUUUAUAUUUGAGAAGAAUGAUAAAGAAGGCCAUGAAGAAUUCAAGGGAAGGGGUGCUUGUGAGAAGCUCAUAAUGUCUGCUUUAUAUUAAAGUCAGUUAAAAGAUAAUAAAAUUUAAAGAACGGAAGCAGGGGAUUCUGAAAGGUUUCCACUCAUAGCAAAAGAAGCGGAGAAGUUUAGCAGAAAGGGGAGCCUCAAGUCAGCCAGUUCUUGGAUCAACAACCUAGGGAUGUGGAGAGGCCCCAUGCCAGCUGUAGAAAUCCCAGUUAUAGAGAGAAAAGGAAGAAAGAGGAAGGAGGUGAAAACCUAAAAGUAACAGAAGCCAAGGGAGAGGAGGAAAACCCUAGCAAAACCCAACAUUUAGCUUUUUGGUACAAACUCUAAAUUUAGUUGGAGGAACAUGUGUGACAUCUAUUCAAAAAAAUUAGCAGUGAAGGGUGGUACAAGUGAAAAAGUAAAAUAGUUAGAACAAUUACAGCAAAGCCUACUGACAUCAAUUAUAAUAACCUUUAUAACUGUUAUACAAAUACUGUACAAAAAAUUAACUCAAAUGUUUUCAGAUUUUUCAAGGAAAAAAAGUUUUCCAAAUAAUUUCCUGCAACCAAACCAAGGUUUGCUAUAACAAUACAAGGUAUCAUACCAGUACCCCGCCAAUAUGAUAUGGUAUGCCAAGUAAAAUGCAGUAUAGCUCAUGUACCGACAUAGGUUCGGGAGACCCUUUUCUCCUGCCCAAUCAUCAUUAGAAACCAAGUGGUAUAGGUCGGUAUAACAUGAAACUAGUCUAACUUGGGUUUCUUGGGUACCCUUUACCACGCAUUGAUAGCUCUAUGGUAGUCUUGGUUUGAUGAAUCAUUUUUCUGAUUCUAAGUUUUUUUUAAUUCACAUAUUAAGCAUUCAAAAAAGUCACUAGUCCUUUUACUCUUUUUUCUUCGUCCUAAGUUUAAUUAUCAUUUGCUGGAAAAUAAAAAUAAAUUCUUCAGCAUCUCUUGUUAUAUAAGACUCUCAUUACUUCAUUUACUGGAAAUUGCAUAUUUCAUCUCAUGCCAGAAAUUUGUUGCUUCAAUAUGGUUUAAUGUAGUUUAGCUAUUAAAUUAAUGGUCACUUCUCACUACAAUGUGUAGAUUUGGUAGCAAUUGCAAUUUCCAAUAGAAAGAUGAUCAUAAAUGAGUUUACUUAACUUCUGAAUUGACCUUCAUUAUUUGGUGCAGCUAUUUUGUGGCAGCAGUCAUCUUGCAAAGCUCAUGGAAUCUUUUAUUAGCUUCCGUGGAUUUAUAUGCUCUUCUAGUCAAGCACUGCUUGAGGAACCCCUUUGAGCUCUUCUUUUUCACCAUUAAUGACGGGGUAAGAAAAAAUUGAGUACAUUUUCAUACAUGAUAAGAUGUUCAGAAAUAAUAUAUAAAUACUUUAUAAUUGAUUUCAUCUAUAUAUAUCCUUCCUGAUGCUUAAGAUAUUCUGUUUCAAGUAUCUUAAAUCUAUGCUUAGAUCUGUAUAUUGGUCUCCAUUUGCAUAUCUCUCCCGUUCGCUUAUUUCCUUAAGUCAUAUAACUUUAUUGCCCCUCCUCUCUUUUUGACCACGUAAGCCCCAUGAUUUUAAUCAUAGCAACAUAAUGGAUUGCUGAGAUUAAAAAGAACAAAGGCAUGCCUUUUUGCGCCAGGGCUUCACUUCAAGGCACAGAAAGUACGUGUUUUUUCUGUGUCUAAGUAAAGUCACUCACCUCAAGGAAGGCAAGGUGCUAAGGUUGCAGCCUUGGUGCGCCUUGCACCUUAGGUGCACCUUUAACAACUUUGAAUUUUGUAUUUGUUUUAAAAUUUAGGAAGAAAGAAUUUUGACACCAUUAUCUCAAAAAACAAGCAGGAUGCUCUUAUUUUUUUUAUUCUAACAUAGCCCAUGUGCCAAAACAAGGUAGGUCUCGAAGUGCAGGCUAUUGUCCUUUUUAAACAAUAGGUCUCAAAGUCAAGGCUAAUGUCCUUGUUUAAACACACGUGCCCACAAAUAUAAGAGGAUCCUCAUCCAAUUUUUAGUACAACAUAGUUUCAGUAGGGGGUGUUUAAUGUCAGGCUUGCAUGAGCUUUCUUCCAUUUUCAGAAGCAACUUCAAAGCACUCCCUUCUUGGGAGUGACACGGGCAGCAGAAAUCAGGGUCUUCUAUUUAGUUCUGUUUGGAGAAAUUCCACUCUUGCAGAUCACCUCACAUAUGAUUGGCAUCAGCUUGCUCUACCUAGUAUAUGAAUCAAUGAAGCCUCGGGUGUGAAACCAACCCUCGUCAUCUUGUCAAAAACCUUCAAAAAGUUUUGAGGGUUUCCUUUGCGUUACUAUGGUAUAAGUCACAACAUUCCGAGGACAUCCAAGGGCAUGCAUCUCAUCAAGAAUAGCAUCAUCCAUUCAAAAAAUUUUCUCCAUGAAACACAAUUCAAUCAGACUAGUAUAUGUGGUCACACAAGGAUAAAAACAAAAUUCUUUCAUUUCCUCCAUAGUCCAUUGAGCCUCUUCGGAUUUUCGUGCUUUGCACCGCUCAGCAUUAAACCUACCUGGAUUGAUAUGUAUCUCAUUCCUUAGCUCUAGAAAGGCAUCAUACGUGUCCUUAACAGUCGUCUCCAUACGCAAGGGAUCCAAGACUACAUUCAUGGCUAAAGCAUCUUUUUUAACACAGAAUUUCUCUAUGUUAUGAAAGGUCUUUAUGGCUUAAUUCUAUCUAAAGGCUCUAGCAAGCCUUCUCGUCACUUUUAUCAUCAUUGAUAGUGAGAUGAAACCCCAAGCCAAACCAUCUCAACAAUCAAUCCCCACAUCACAUCAAAGCACUUUCAUUUUUCUAGAUGCCAACCAUCAUGUCCUAAGAGUCAAAAGAAUGUCUAUAGCCUAUUUUAGUACCAGGACAUAUGAAGAAACCAUAUGUUGGAAUCCAAUCACCGCUAAACCUCUUCAAAAUCUUAUCAACCAAACCCUUUGAGAUUUUGACAAAGCAAUAAUCAAGCAUUCCAAAUACCGCUUCAGGAGACACAAAUUUGGAUUUCGAAAUCCUACUAAUAUCGUCAAGAUCAACAUUUUUAACAGCAUGAUACAAAACUCUAACAUCAGCCGUGCAAUCAUGGGCCCUCCUAUUAUUGAUAAUCCAAUGUUUUAAAACCUAGGCCAUUGAUCAAACCCUGGAAAGAAACAGGGUCACAGGUCACCGAUUCGACCGUUAGGUCACCUGGAAUUGAACCACGACAUCAUGACGACAUAAUAAAUAUAUUAAUUGUUAAUUAUUUGUAUAUGAGAAAAGUAAAUUAAGAUUAUAAAUAUAUGCAGAAAAAAUAUAAAGAAUGAUAGUUGUUAGCAUUUUUCUUAUAUACUUUUACUACUCUUUAAUCUUUAUUAUUACAUGGUAUUAUAAUAAUGCAAAAUAUCAUUGCAUCACUGUGAAUGGAGAGUCCUAACCGAAUUAGUUUAGGUAAAAUAGUUUCAAUUCAUUGAACUACAUUGGGGUUUUCUCUCAUAUAUCAUAACUCAUCAAUUAAAGAGCUGAUUCAUAAUAAGGUAAUAAACAAACUUAACUAACGGCACUGAUUCAUUGAACUAGUUAAAUAUAUAUAAGGGAGGAGGGAAGAGAUAGAAUCGGAGUUAUUCAUGGAGAGUCGAGCGAUGGUGAGAACCAAUUGCAAUUAGGUCAGAAUCAGACCACGUCAUGAUUCUGAGCAAGAUGAGAGCUAGCCAUUUACUAAAACAAAAAAGGGGCAUGGGACAUGUUAAUGCAUGUUAGGGUUCUUCAAGUCACUGAAGCAUCAACUCAGAGGCAUUUAGAGAAUAACUAACACCGAAAAAAGGGAAAAGUCGACAGCUUUCAAGCAAGAAAAGAGUUCGUCAUUUGUACCAACAUGUAAACGGCGUCACUAUGCAUCGUUAUAGUUCCAGGGCAACAGGUGGGUAUUACGAUUCCACCAGGGAAAGCUUGGGGGAGACGAAAAAACAAAGGAGAGAAGAAGAAGAAGAAGAUUUGAAAAGAAAGAAGGACUGACAAACCUGUGAUUGGGUACGAAGUUUAGCGGAUAAAAGAAAAAGAAAAAGAAAAAGAAUUGGAAGUUGACAUCCUCCCAGCAGCGCAUCGGAAGACGGCAGUGGGGACUUCACAAGGGAAGCAAAAGAAGUGGAGGGAAUGAAGCAAAUGAGUAAAUACGAGAGAGGGAGAGAGAGAGCGCACACCUGGUGGAUGGCGCCGGGGCGGCGCCGGCCGUCUUCCGCGGUCGUUUGUUGACCACCCUCCCUCCGCACCGUGAAGGAAGAAGGAGCGCCGCAGCGUCGGAGCGAGAGAGAAUGAACGUAGUCGAACGAGAUCCCACUGUGAAAUGGACGUUGUUUUUAUAUCAGAAAAAAAAC
rnacentral:lncRNA from 1 species